UUUUUGGAGACUUUACUAAACAACUUAAAAGAACGAGUAAGUGGGUAGGACGUGACGUCAUUUCCUAACGGUUCUGGCUCAGAGAGCCGACACCAGGGAUGUGGCAUGGCGGGCUCAGCUACUCCACGGUCUUACUGGACUCCACCGACAAUACCUCAAAUGGAAAACAGCAGAAAAAGAAAAUAUGAGAGAAACUGGAGCGACAGGAAGGCGUGUGUGAGAAAGAGGGGAGGACACCAGCGAAGGACAGCAGGCCAUAUUUGAACUUAGGUCACAGCG